CCGGUUGAUCCUGCCGGAGGUUACUGCUAUCGAGGUUCGACUAAGCCAUGCGAGUCGAAUGUAGCAAUACAUGGCGUACUGCUCAGUAACACGUGGACAACCUACCCUCCGGACGGGUAUAAACCCGGGAAACUGGGUAUAAUCCCCGAUAGAUCUCGAUCGCUGGAAUGCCCCGAGAUCGAAAGCUCCGGCGCCAGAGGAUGGGUCUGCGGCCUAUCAGGUAGUAGUGGGUGUAGCGUACCUACUAGCCUACGACGGGUACGGGUUGUGAGAGCAAGAGCCCGGAGAUGGAUUCUGAGACACGAAUCCAGGCCCUACGGGGUGCAGCAGGCGCGAAAACUUUACAAUGCCGGCAACGGCGAUAAGGGGACCUCGAGUGCCAGGUUACAAAUCUGGCUGUCGUGAUGCCUAAAAAGCAUUGCAUAGCAAGGGCCGGGCAAGACCGGUGCCAGCCGCCGCGGUAACACCGGCGGCUCGAGUGGUAACCGUUAUUAUUGGGUCUAAAGGGUCUGUAGCCGGCCGGAUAAGUCUCUUGAGAAAUCCAGCAGCUCAACUGUUGGGAUUUCACGAGAUACUGUUCUGCUCUAGGCCGGGAGAUGUGACACAGACUUCCGGUUUAGUUUCUGC
rnacentral:rRNA from 1 species